ensembl:lncRNA
CUUCAUCCACCGCUGGAAAACUGGACACAUCUGGUCAGAAAAACAAGUCAGGAGUUUACAAUAAACAAGACCAUAAACAUUUUUUUUUUUUUUUUUUUACCAUAAACUGGAAUAAUGGCAGCGUGUGAACGGGACUUUUAUUUUGAUCCGUCAGUGACAUCACAUGGCUGGACCGCUCUCCUCUGGCUCAACAAAGGAGCAAGAAACUGAGAACAUCUGAAAUCUGUGUGACAUACUAUUAUCAAGAUGGCAUUUAUUAAAGAGGAGAUCGAAGACGUGAGCAUUUCAGAAACAUUCAGAGUGAAAAAUGAAGAUGCAGAGGAUGACACAGUUUUUUAACAGCACAUGUAAGUGUGUCAUGUUCUGUUCAGCUGAUGAUACUUCUCUUCUAUUCUCCACUACGCAGAUGCUGUCACACCCCACAGACUCAUCAUCUGCAAAGAUCAACUGCCACUCAUUUUUACAAAAAUACACAUAAUGAUGGAUGUGAACACAUCACAGGCAGCUGCAAAAAAUGUUUUAAUUGGAACUUUGCCUUUGUUUCUAUUUGUAUUUGUGUGUCUAUUUGUUCUAUUAUAUUUAAUUUACAUUCAAAUGUCGUGUAAUUUUUAUGCUUUCAUGUAAUGAUUUUUUAGAGCAUUGUCAUUUUUGCUAUAAUUUCCCAUGUCAAUAAAAAACAUAAUUU